ACAAAAACAAAGAACAGACUAGUAGCUGUUUAGCCGUCUGCUUAGCGAGUCGCGGUUGAUGGGAAGCGACCAGAAGGCAACAGUGAAUCACAUCUGCGAGUUGGGCGAUCGAAUUUAGUAAGUCGCUCCGGGGAAGCCCGUUACAGCACAGAGUUUAAAUUUGAACUCGCUGAGGCAGUUUAGCGUGAGCUGACUGCAAUGAUGAGGUGGAACCGCGGCAACGCCCUCUGA
rfam:Lactobacillus mucosae LM1, complete genome.